CAGUCGCCGCGGGAAUACGUAGGUGGCAAGCGUUGUCCGGAAUUAUUGGGCGUAAAGGGCUCGCAGGCGGUUUCUUAAGUCUGAUGUGAAAGCCCCCGGCUCAACCGGGGAGGGUCAUUGGAAACUGGGAAACUUGAAUGCAGAAGAGGAGAGUGGAAUUCCACGUGUAGCGGUGAAAUGCGUAGAGAUGUGGAGGAACACCAGUGGCGAAGGCGACUCUCUGGUCUGUAACUGACGCUGAGGAGCGAAAGCGUGGGGAGCGAACAGGAUUAGAUACCCGUGUAGUCCCUGUCUCUUAUAC
rnacentral:rRNA from 1 species